GAGGCAGCAGUGCGGAAUAUUGGACAAUGGGCGAAAGCCUGAUCCAGCGACGCCGCGUGCGGGACGAAGGCCUUCGGGUCGUAAACCGCUGUGGUAAGGGACGAAUAGCCGGUGGAGUGGAAAGCCACCGGAGGAGACGGUACCUUACUAGGAAGCCCCGGCUAACUACGUGCCAGCAGCCGCGGUAAUACGUAGGGGGCGAGCGUUACCCGGAAUCACUGGGCGUAAAGGGAGCGUAGGCGGCCCAGCAAGUCGACUGUGAAAAACCGGAGCUCAACUUCGGUCCUGCGGUCGAAGCUGCUGGGCUUGAGGACAGUAGAGGGAGGCGGAACUGCCGGUGUAGGGGUAAAAUCCUUAGAUAUCGGCAGGAACGCCGGUGGCGAAGGCGGUCUCCUGGGCCGGACCUGACGCUGAGGCUCGAAAGCCAGGGGAGCGAACGGGAUUAGAUACCCCGGUAGUCCUGGCCCUAAACGAUGCUCACUAGGUGUGGGGUGCGUAGAGCACUCCGUGCUGAAGCAAACGCGAUAAGUGAGCCGCCUGGGGA
rnacentral:rRNA from 1 species